AAGAAAUCAUGGGGAGUUCUUUGAUAGAUAAAUCAUCAUUUGUAUCAAUGUCAUCUAAAGUGCUCUUUAACCAUAGUUUUCAUCAAGAGAAUCAGUUCUUAGUGAAACCAGUUUUGGUGCCUCUGCAAUACGGAAAGCUUAGUGUAAAAAGAGCUGUGAGAGGUCCUGUUGCAGCUAUCAGUGAAGAUUUGAUCAAGGCUAAUAGUAGUAGUAAUACUGUGCCUGAAAACGCAGUGAAGUUUAAGGUGAGAGCUGUUGUCACCGUGAGAAACAAGCACAAGGAGGAUUUGAAGGAGACCAUUGCCAAGCACUGGGAUGCUUUUGCUGAUAAGAUUGGGCGAAAUGUUGUUUUGGAGCUCAUUAGUUCUGAAGUUGAUCCAAAAACCAAGGAACCAAAGAGAAGCAAGGAAGCUGUGUUAAAGGACUGGUCCAAGAAAACAAAUGUUAAGGCUGAGAGGGUCCAUUAUGCAGCUGAAUUUCUAGUGGAUUCCAAUUUU
rnacentral:misc_RNA from 1 species